CGAACGCUGGCGGCGUGCCUAAUACAUGCAAGUUGAGCGCUGAAGGUUGGUACUUGUACCAACUGGAUGAGCCGCGAACGGGUGAGUAACGCGUGGGGAAUCUGCCUUUGAGCAGGGGACAACAUUUGGAAACGAAUGCUAAUACCGCAUAAAAACUUUAAACACAAGUUUUACGUUUGAAAGAUGCAAUUGCAUCACUCAAAGAUGAUCCCGCGUUGUAUUAGCUAGUUGGUGAGGUAAAGGCUCACCAAGGCGAUGAUACAUAGCCGACCUGAGAGGGUGAUCGGCCACAUUGGGACUGAGACACGGCCCAAACUCCUACGGGAGGCAGCAGUAGGGAAUCUUCGGCAAUGGACGAAAGUCUGACCGAGCAACGCCGCGUGAGUGAAGAAGGUUGUCGGAUCGUAAAACUCUGUUGGUAGAGAAGAACGUUGGUGAGAGUGGAAAGCUCACCAAGUGACGGUAACUACCCAGAAAGGGACGGCUAACUACGUG
rnacentral:rRNA from 1 species